rnacentral:snRNA from 1 species
GUGCACGCUUCGGCAGCACAUAUACUAAAAUUGGAAUGAUACAGAGAUUAGCAUGGCCCCUGAGCAAGGAUGACAUACAAAUUCGUGAAGCGGUGAUUUUUCUG